UACAGAGGGUGCGAGCGUUGUUCGGAAUUAUUGGGCGUAAAGGGCGCGUAGGCGGUGCGGCAAGUCACCUGUGAAACCUCUGGGCUUAACCCAGAGCCUGCAGGCGAAACUGCCGUGCUGGAGUGUGGGAGAGGUGCGUGGAAUUCCCGGUGUAGCGGUGAAAUGCGUAGAUAUCAGGAGGAACACCUGUGGCGAAAGCGGCGCACUGGACCACAACUGACGCUGAGGCGCGAAAGCUAGGGGAGCAAACAGG
rnacentral:rRNA from 1 species